GGACGAGCCGCCUAUUGGCAGGGUAAGCUGACUUCUAACCAGUGUGCAUCAGAUGUACUGUAGGUUCGAUUCCUAUCUUGUCCA